AUUGAACGCUGGCGGCAGGCCUAACACAUGCAAGUCGACCGCGUGGCGGACGGGUGAGUACUGUCUGGGAACCUGCCUGGUGGGGGGAGAUAACUCCUGGAAACGAUCGCUCAUACCGCAUACCCUCAGAUGUGCCCAGAUGGGAUUAGCGUGUUGGUGGGGUAACGGCUCACACAGGCGACGAUCCCUAGCUGGUCUGAGAGGAUGACCAGCCACACUGGAACUGAGACACGGUCCAGACUCCUACGGGAGGCAGCAGUGGGGAAUAUUGCACAAUGGGCGCAAGCCUGAUGCAGCCAUGCCGCGUGUAUGAAGAAGGCCUUCGGGUUGUAAAGUACUUUCAGCGGGGAGGCGUUACCCGCAGAAGAAGCACCGGCGAACUCCGUGCCAGCAGCCGCGGUAAUUC
rnacentral:rRNA from 1 species